CUCUAUCACUGCUUGCUGUAGCUUACGUUCCAUCUCCUUUUUUUUUUCUCUCUCUCUCUCAAACUCGUUUGUGCUGAGAGAACCAAGGGUUUCUUCCCUUGCAGAGAAGAAAAUUUGGAUACAUAUGGUUAAGUUUAUUUAGAUAUCUUGUUUGUUCUUUCAUCUUUCUCAGAUAUGGUUUGGAAAUGGGAGAUUGGGGAUGAUGGGAAUGUUGUUUGGCUCGAGAAAAAGCUUUAAAGGUUGGAUUUUGAGGCUAUCCCUUUAUGUGAUCUCGGACCAGGCUUCAUUCCCGUCAACCUUAUCUCUCUCUCUUGAGAUCUUCUCCCAUGGAGGGGUGAUGGCUUAUGGUAAUUAAUUAAGGCGAUGUCAAAACAAGACUCUUGUGAUAGAUAUAUCUGGUCAAUGAUGACAUUAAAACUCUCUUGUUUGUUAUUUUUUAUCGGUAAAUAUGUUACUUGUUAAAAUAUUAGUUUUGUUAUUAAGAUUGAUCUGUAAUUUUUUUUCUUAACCAUCCAAUCUAUUAUAUAUCUCCUAUACUUAUUUGUUUUGUUUGUGUUUGUAAAUUCAGACAUUGCAUGGGACAAAACUUGAAACAUUUGUCAAGAACUCUAUUGAACAAGAUGCCUUUGACCUUGUUGUAAUUGGUGCUUUGUUUUUUGUCAUCUUUCUUAUGGCUCCAUUAUACUUUAUAUAUCUUCAUUUCUUUCAACAUCUCUCUCGAUCGUGAGUUAAUUUAACGGUUGAGACUUGAGAUUUGUGCUAUUAUAUAUUAUGUCUAUCUAAAAGGAUCAGGCUCCAAAAUCUUUAUAUAGUAUAUAAUUAUUUUUCUUGGAUUAUGAUUAGUGAGUAAUUGGUAUUAACUUUUUUAAGUUAAAUAUUCUGCGUUGAGAAACCCAAGGAUCUUUGAAAUUCUGUAUUUUGUCAGUAUAUAGGUUUCCCAGCUGUAGCAUCUUUAGGGUUUGAGAUUCCUAACCAUCUUUACUUCCUGUCAAGUUUCAGUCCAUGUGGUUGGCUUCAUUUUUUCAGGUAAUAACAUAUUUCCUUUCUCUAUACAAUACUUCUUCACAUACAUCUUUUCAUAAUUAUUUGUAGUACUAUUUUAGUUUGUGACCUCUCAGCCCAGGUGAAUAGAGAAAAGUGCUGAGAAGAUGCAUGAAGUUAAGAUGAAUUAAUGGAUCUAAAACAUAACAAAAUUGGUGGCACACAAUGCAUACAGAAUUUUCCUUUCAUUUGUUGGUUAUCACUUCAUCGUUUUUCUUGCUUGUUUCUACCAAAAUAAAAGGCGAAAGAGGGAGUGUUGUGGUGGUGGUUGGGCUAGCCUGAAAAAUUGUAAUUCCUACCAAGGUUUUAAAAAAUAUCAGUAACAGGAAUUUCAAUCACAAUAUCAAGCUUUGUGGGCGAUUGCAUCUUGUGGUGACAUCAUCGGUCAUAUUUUUCCACAAUGUCAGGAAUCACAACCACACUUUAAAACCUUUAUACAAUUUUCCUAAACAUGAUUCAGUUUUUGUUGUUGGAUUUUUCGUUUGCUGUCUCACAAGCUUAUGGAUCUUAUUAUCUCCAAAACCUAGCUAGCCAAAAUUUAUAUAAAUUUAUUUGUCUUAUUGCCUA